rnacentral:rRNA from 1 species
AGUGAACGCUGGCGGUAGGCCUAACACAUGCAAGUCGAACGGCAGCACAGUAAGAGCUUGCUCUUACGGGUGGCGAGUGGCGGACGGGUGAGGAAUACAUCGGAAUCUACUUUUUCGUGGGGGAUAACGUAGGGAAACUUACGCUAAUACCGCAUACGACCUACGGGUGAAAGCAGGGGCUCUUCGGACCUUGCGCGAUUGAAUGAGCCGAUGUCGGAUUAGCUAGUUGGCGGGGUAAAGGCCCACCAAGGCGACGAUCCGUAGCUGGUCUGAGAGGAUGAUCAGCCACACUGGAACUGAGACACGGUCCAGACUCCUACGGGAGGCAGCAGUGGGGAAUAUUGGACAAUGGGCGCAAGCCUGAUCCAGCCAUACCGCGUGGGUGAAGAAGGCCUUCGGGUUGUAAAGCCCUUUUGUUGGGAAAGAAAAGCAGCAGGUUAAUACCCCGCGGUUCUGACGGUACCCAAAGAAUAAGCACCGGCUAACUUCGUG